CAAUAAAUGAGUCCUACUCCUACACCUACUCUUAUCACUUGUAAUCCAAAAAAGCUCCAUUUCUUUCUUAUACGCUAAUUCACUAUUAAAUAGAAAUGUAUAUGCAAAACAGCGAGAAAUUUGUAGAUACGUUGAAUGUUGUUGCUUUCACAUUUGCAACUCUUAGUAGUUGUUCAAAACAACAAUGUCGAGCAAAGAUGUUUGCGAUGUUUGAAUGAUUCUUGGAUUGUAUUUGGAUUCCAUCGGUACUAUGGCCUGUUGAUUCGGCACCUUUGUCAUUUUAGCAACUUUUGUUUUCUUUUCUGUGUCGAUGUAGUUCUCUAUACCAUAUUCAUGUUCAUAUCAAUGUCCAUAUCAAGGUCCAUAUCAAUGUCCAUAUCAAUUUCCCAUGUUCCAUUACAUAUCCCGUGUUCUUUCCUUCUUCCAGCUUUUACAUGCUAGCCUUUUAUACAAUGAUUCCUCUCAUCUCGACUCGUUUGAUGAAUGGGCGUUUAGUUUUUGCAACAACAUAUGCGUUGGGUUAUCUCAUAUCGGGAAACACUUUCUGCCACUUUUAACUUGAACAAAGUUGGAGAAAUAAAGUGAUGGCAGAUAUUGCAAGUUGUUUAUAGUGUGCCUGUAGAAAUGUAAAAACGCUAUGUUUCGUGAAUGCCCAGCCUGUAAAUCGAAAUAAGAUUUCGUAUUUAUUAAGCAUUGGAAGAUCACAAUUGUGGACUUUNGUGGGGUUUCGUAAAAGAACAUCAUAUAGANUUCCUUUNGA
rnacentral:sRNA from 1 species